rnacentral:siRNA from 1 species
AUGCCCGUGUCGUAGGUCGUGUGC